rnacentral:rRNA from 1 species
UACAGAGGGGGCGAGCGUUAUUCGGAAUUAUUGGGCGUAAAGAGCUCGUAGGCGGCUUGUUGCGUCGACUGUGAAAACCCGCGGCUUAACUGCGGGCUUGCAGUUGAUACGGGCAGGCUAGAGUUCGGUAGGGGAGACUGGAAUUCCUGGUGUAGCGGUGAAAUGCGCAGAUAUCAGGAGGAACACCGGUGGCGAAGGCGGGUCUCUGGGCCGAUACUGACGCUGAGGAGCGAAAGCGUGGGGAGCGAACAGG